UCACCUCUUUGUUCUCUCACUCUUCCACCAUGUGAACCCAAUCAUUAAGGAGGUCUAAGUUGAUUGCUCCAAACUUAGACCACGUGAUUUUAGCAAACCAUCUUUGGUUUAGAAACACUCACCAUUUUAAAACUAAGUUAAACUGCCUGGCUUUUCUUGCUGCUGUAUAGAAAAGUCCAUGAAUCUGGCCUUCAAAAAAUUGGGGAGACCAACCAUGCCAUAAGAGUGUGCCUGAGGGACUGCCUCUUUCUUACUAGAGCAACACUGGUGGCCUUUUGUUACAAGGAUGUCUGAAGAAAAAUGCAUUUCCUUAAAUGUCAAGAGACUGCCAAGCAAUAGCACCCCAGCAGAGCUGUCAAUGCUGCCUCAGAAUUCUACACGAAAUUUAUUUCCUAUGACCAAGAAGUCAUUUGAAUUUAUACCGUCCUUUGAAGAGUUGCCUUGGCAGCCCCAGACACAGAGUUCUCUGGAUUUGCUACAGGGGAGGCUGCUUGCCAUGUCUUUUCCCAGCAAAGAACCUGGUAGCAGCCCCCAGUUUGCUUUUCUUAGAAGAAGACUCUCCACUAUAACUGGUUCAGAGGGGUCCCCUGGAGAACUGGACCAAACUGCCAUCUUUCCCACAUCAGCAGUCAAAAGAACCAGAGAUCCUGAA